UACGUAGGGGGCAAGCGUUGUCCGGGAUCAUUGGGCGUAAAGAGCGUGUAGGCGGCCAGAUAAGUCCGCUGUGAAAUCUCGAGGCUCAACUUCGAGCUGUCGGUGGAAACUGUCUGGCUAGAGUCCGGAAGAGGAGAAUGGAAUUCCUGGUGUAGCGGUGAAAUGCGCAGAUAUCAGGAAGAACACCCGUGGCGAAGGCGGUUCUCUGGGACGGUACUGACGCUGAGACGCGAAAGCGUGGGGAGCGAACAGG
rnacentral:rRNA from 1 species